GGAGUCUGGUCCGUGUCUCAGUACCAGUGUGGGGGACCUUCCUCUCAGAACCCCUACUGAUCGAUGGCUCGGUGGGCCGUUACCCCGCCGACUGCCUAAUCAGACGCAUCCCCAUCCCUUAGCGACGAAUCUUUGCUCCUAAACCGAUGCCCGAAAAGGAGAACAUAGGGCAUUAAUCCGACUUUCGCCGGGCUAUUCCCUACUAAGGGGGAGGUUGGAUACGCGUUACUCACCCGUGCGCCGGUCGCCAUCAACAAAAGCAAGCUUUCGUUCAUGAUGCCCCUCGACUUGCAUGUGUUAAGCCUGUAGCUAGCGUUCAUC
rnacentral:rRNA from 1 species